rnacentral:lncRNA from 1 species
UUUGACACGUGGGAACACAAAAUUAUAUUAAAUUGUUCCUUUUCUUUUCCAACCCAAAAUAUCUGAUCCAACCGUCCAACUAGUGAGAAAUUUCCAGCUAUAAAUUGAUUACUACCUACUUAUAAAUUUGGCCGUACAAUUGACACUCCGAUUCGAGAAGUUUCUAUAAUAUAACUAACCGUUAACAAGAUCUUGGACGAAAGGGGAACGCAGAUGUCUUCACCGGACUAUGCCGGACUCCUGGAAAACUCGAAGGAGCUCGAUCGGUUAAGGAAAGAGCAAGAAGAAUUGCUCCUCGAGAUCAAUAAAAUGCACAAGAAACUUCAAUCCAGUGAGUCGCAGUUAUAGUUAUUAAAUUAUAACCCUAUCUUUGAAAUUACCCUAAUUAUGAUGUAUGUUGUAUUUAGUGGAAUUGUGUAAUUCUUGACACGCGUUUGAGGUUUUUUCAUGAAAGCAAUUGGAUUUAAAUGAUUAUUGUUCCAAGUGUAUAUGGGUAAUUAGGUUCUAAUUGUUGAGAGUUCGUUUGGUGGAAUAUACGUGUCAUUAGAAGUUCAGUUCAUUUAUAUCCUUGUUCAGAAAGUGUAGUGGGGACAGCCUUUGAUUGAUUACUCAUUUGUUAUUUUAAUGGCAAGUUUCGUAAGAUAGAUUGAACUGCAGUAGAAAAUGUUAUAAAAACUAAAAUAAUAUAAUCUUGUCUUAAUUGUUUGAGGACUUAGAAUUACGAUAACAACUUUCUUUCGCUUGAAGUUUGUUCCUGAGGAUAUGUAUGAGCUAAGAGUUAUUCAUGAAAAAAGAAAGAAAAGGAGUUUGAUAACUCAAUGCACUAGUUUCUUGAGAUUCUCAUGUGAGGAAAAUUAUACCAUGUUGGAGAAAUAAGAUGCACAGCAUGAUCAUCAUAAUUACAUGAAUGGACCUAAAACCUAAUAACUUCAAGUUUUGGAUUACGAUUGCUCCAAG